rnacentral:rRNA from 1 species
AACGAACGCUGGCGGCAGGCUUAACACAUGCAAGUCGAGCGCCCCGCAAGGGGAGCGGCAGACGGGUGAGUAACGCGUGGGAACGUACCCUUUACUACGGAAUAACGCAUGGAAACGUGUGCUAAUACCGUAUGUGCCCUUCGGGGGAAAGAUUUAUCGGUAAAGGAUCGGCCCGCGUUGGAUUAGCUAGUUGGUGGGGUAAAGGCCUACCAAGGCGACGAUCCAUAGCUGGUCUGAGAGGAUGAUCAGCCACAUUGGGACUGAGACACGGCCCAAACUCCUACGGGAGGCAGCAGUGGGGAAUAUUGGACAAUGGGCGCAAGCCUGAUCCAGCCAUGCCGCGUGAGUGAUGAAGGCCCUAGGGUUGUAAAGUUCUUUCACCGGUGAAGAUAAUGACGGUAACCGGAGAAGAAGCCCCGGCUAACUUCGUGCCAGCCGCCGCCGUAACAC